rnacentral:rRNA from 1 species
UACGUAGGGUGCAAGCGUUGUCCGGAAUUAUUGGGCGGAAAGAGCUUGUAGGCGGUUUGUCGCGUCUGCUGUGAAAUUUCGGGGCUCAACCCCGAACUUGCAGUGGGUACGGGCAGACUAGAGUGUGGUAGGGGAGACUGGAAUUCCUGGUGUAGCGGUGAAAUGCGCAGAUAUCAGGAGGAACACCGAUGGCGAAGGCAGGUCUCUGGGCCAUAACUGACGCUGAGAAGCGAAAGCAUGGGGAGCGAACAGG